rnacentral:rRNA from 1 species
UACAGAGGGUGCGAGCGUUAAUCGGAAUUACUGGGCGUAAAGCGUGCGUAGACGGUUUUGUAAGUCGGAUGUGAAAUCCCCGGGCUCAACCUGGGAAUUGCAUUCGAGACUGCAAGGCUUGGGUGCGGAAGAGGGAAGCGGAAUUUCCGGUGUAGCGGUGAAAUGCGUAGAUAUCGGAAAGAACACCAACGGCGAAAGCACUCUGCUGGGCCGACACUGACACUGAGAGACGAAAGCUAGGGGAGCGAAUGGG